GAUGAACGCUGGCGGCGUGCCUAAUACAUGCAAGUCGAGCGAACAGAUGCGGAGCUUGCUCCUCUGACGUUAGCGGCGGCCGGGUGGUUAAUAAGUGGAGAACCUCCCUCUAAGUCUGGGAUAACUACGGGAAACCGGAGCGACUACCGGAGAAUAUAUUGAACCUCAUGGUUCAAUAGUGAAAGACGGUUUUGGUUUCGCUUAUGGAUGGAUCCGCGCCGCAUUAGCUAGUUGGUGAGGUAAUGGCUUACCAAGGCGACGAUGCGUAGCCGACCUGAGAGGGUGAUCGGCCACACUGGAAGUGAGACACGGUCCAGACUCCUACGGGAGGCAGCAGUAGGGAAUCUUCCGCAAUGGGCGAAAGCCUGACGGAGCAACGCCGCGUGAGUGAUGAAGGUCUUCGGAUCGUAAAACUCUGUUAUUAGGGAAGAACAAAUGUGUAAGUAACUAUGCACGUCUUGACGGUACCUAAUCAGAAAGCCACGGCUAACUACGUG
rnacentral:rRNA from 1 species